AGAGUUUGAUCAUGGCUCAGAUUGAACGCUGGCGGAAUGCCUUACACAUGCAAGUCGAACGGCAGCACGGGAGCAAUCCUGGUGGCGAGUGGCGAACGGGUGAGUAAUGCAUCGGAACGUGCCCAAUCGUGGGGGAUAACGUAGCGAAAGCUACGCUAAUACCGCAUACGAUCUACGGAUGAAAACGGGGGAUCGCAAGACCUCGCGCGAAUGGAGCGGCCGAUGGCAGAUUAGGUAGUUGGUGGGGUAAAGGCUCACCAAGCCUUCGAUCUGUAGCUGGUCUGAGAGGACGACCAGCCACACUGGGACUGAGACACGGCCCAGACUCCUACGGGAGGCAGCAGUGGGGAAUUUUGGACAAUGGGCGCAAGCCUGAUCCAGCCAUUCCGCGUGCAGGAUGAAGGCCUUCGGGUUGUAAACUGCUUUUGUACGGAACGAAAAGCCGCUUUUUAAUACAGAGCGGUCAUGACGGUACCGUAAGAAUAAGCACCGGCUAACUACGUGCCAGCAGCCGCGGUAAUACGUAGGGUGCAAGCGUUAAUCGGAAUUACUGGGCGUAAAGCGUGCGCAGGCGGUGAUGUAAGACAGAUGUGAAAUCCCCGGGCUCAACCUGGGAACUGCAUUUGUGACUGCAUCGCUAGAGUACGGCAGAGGGGGAUGGAAUUCCGCGUAGCAGUGAAAUGCGUAGAUAUGCGGAGGAACACCGAUGGCGAAGGCAGCCCCCUGGGCUAACACUGACGCUCAGGCACGAAAGCGUGGGGAGCAAACAGGAUUAGAUACCCUAGUAGUCC
rnacentral:rRNA from 1 species